rnacentral:rRNA from 1 species
UACGGGGGGGGCAAGCGUUGUUCGGAAUUACUGGGCGUAAAGGGCUCGUAGGCGGCCAACUAAGUCAGACGUGAAAUCCCUCGGCUUAACCGGGGAACUGCGUCUGAUACUGGAUGGCUUGAGGUUGGGAGAGGAAGGUGGAAUGCUUGGUGUAGAGGUGAAAUUCGUAGAUAUCAAGCAGAACACCUGCGGCGAAGGCGGCCUUCUGGACGAUGACUGACGCUGAGACGCGAAAGCGUGGGGAGCAAACAGG